GCCCACGGCCACACCGCUGGUUCACGCCCGAUCUCGUUUGAUCUCGGAAGCUAAGAUAGGUUGGGCCUGGUUAGUACUUGGAAAGGAGACCGCCUGGAAAUACCAGGUGCUGUAAGCA
rnacentral:rRNA from 1 species